UACGGAGGGUGCAAGCGUUGUCCGGAAUCACUGGGCGUAAAGGGCGCGUAGGCGGCCUGGUAAGUAGGGGGUGAAAUCCUGCGGCUUAACCGCAGGGCUGCCUUCUAAACUGUCAGGCUUGAGCACGGUAGAGGCAGAUGGAAUUCCCGGUGUAGCGGUGGAAUGCGUAGAGAUCAGGAAGAACAUCGGUGGCGAAGGCGCUCUGCUGGACCAUAACUGACACUCAGGGACGAAAGCUAGGGGAGCGAAUGGG
rnacentral:rRNA from 1 species